CUUACCUGAUUUUAAUCUGAGGAACAUCACGGGUGGCUCUAGAGGAGCAAGAACUACUGACCUUUCAAGAGUUAAAGGAGUUCGUUCCAGUUUUGUUAGGAUUCGUGUUUUAAAAUCUUUCGUUUUCUGUUUAGUGUUUCGUUGUUUGUUGUAUGUCAUGUCGUUUUUUAUACGACCGCAAAAAAAGUUUGCGGUCGUAUAUUGGUAUGACGUUGGCGUCGUCGUCGUCGUCGUCCGAAGACACAUUGGUUUUCGCACUCUAACUUUAGUUUAAGUGAAUGGAUCUCUAUGAAAUUUUACCAUAAGGUUCAAUACUACAAAAGGAAGGUGGGGAUUGAUUUUGGGGGUUAUGGUACCAACAGUUAAGGAAAUAAGGGCCAAAAAGGGGCGAAAAAUAAGCAUUUUGUAACUUCCAGACAUAACUUGUGUGUUAGUGUAUGGAUCUCUCCGACAUUGUACCACAAGGUUCCAUAUCACAAAGGGAAUGCUGGGAUUGAUUUUGGGGGUAAUUGCCUCCAAAUUUUAAGAA